GAUGAACGCUGGCGGCGUGCUUAACACAUGCAAGUCGAACGGAAAGGCUCCUGCUUGCAGGGGUACUCGAUUGGCGAACGGGUGAGUAACACGUGGGUGAUCUGCCCUUCACUUCGGGAUAAGCCUGGGAAACUGGGUCUAAUACCGGAUAGGACGAUGUUUUGGAUGCCAUUGUGGAAAGUUUUUCGGUUUGGGAUGAGCUCGCGGCCUAUCAGCUUGUUGGUGGGGUAAUGGCCUACCAAGGCGUCGACGGGUAGCCGGCCUGAGAGGGUGUACGGCCACAUUGGGACUGAGAUACGGCCCAGACUCCUACGGGAGGCAGCAGUGGGGAAUAUUGCACAAUGGGCGCAAGCCUGAUGCAGCGACGCCGCGUGGGGGAUGACGGCCUUCGGGUUGUAAACUCCUUUCGCUAGGGACGAAGCGCAAGUGACGGUACCUGGAGAAGAAGCACCGGCUAACUACGUG
rnacentral:rRNA from 1 species